rnacentral:rRNA from 1 species
CCUACGGGAGGCAGCAGUGGGGAAUUGUUCACAAUGGGCGCAAGCCUGAUGACGCGACGCCGCGUGGGGGAUGAAGGCCUUCGGGUCGUAAACCCCUGUCGAAUGGGACGAAAAGCCCGCGAUUUAACAAAACGCGGGACUGACGGUACCGUUAAAGGAAGCCACGGCUAACUCUGUGCCAGCAGCCGCGGUAAUACAGAGGUGGCAAGCGUUGUUCGGAAUUACUGGGCGUAAAGGGCGCGUAGGCGGCCUUCUAAGUCAGACGUGAAAUCCCCCGGCUUAACCUGGGAACUGCGUCUGAUACUGGGAGGCUUGAGUAUGGGAGAGGGAUGUAGAAUUCCAGGUGUAGCGGUGAAAUGCGUAGAUAUCUGGAGGAAUACCGGUGGCGAAGGCGGCAUCCUGGACCAUAACUGACGCUGAGGCGCGAAAGCUAGGGGAGCAAACGGGAUUAGAUACCCCGGUAGUCCUAGCCCUAAACGAUGAAUACUUGGUGUGGCGGGUAUCGAUCCCUGCCGUGCCGAAGCUAACGCAUUAAGUAUUCCGCCUGGGGAGUAUGGUCGCAAGGCUGAAACUCAAAGGAAUUGACGG